rnacentral:lncRNA from 1 species
UCUUGACUUUUGUUCUUCUGGUUUUUCAUCCCCCGCGUCAUAGUAAUACUCUGUUUCUGUGCGAGCUCGAUGAUUUCUGGAGGCUGUGGGUGUUUUCCCCUAAAGAUCCAUGAGUUCCUAGCCUUCCAGAUCUGCCAAAGAAUUAGCCCGAUGAACACCCGUACAGGUACCUCCCUUUUUUCUUGAAAAACCUCCACUAGCCAUUGAUCUAUUCGCUUUAUGUUUCUC